GACGUAGGGGGCCAGCGUUGUUCGGAAUUACUGGGUGUAAAGGGUUCGUAGGCGGUGUGGCAAGUUGGGAGUGAAAUCUCUGGGCUCAACCCAGAGGCUGCUUCCAAAACUGCUGUGCUUGAGUGUGGGAGAGGCGCGUGGAAUUGCAGGUGUAGCGGUGAAAUGCGUAGAUAUCUGCAGGAACACCCGUGGCGAAAGCGGCGCGCUGGACCACAACUGACGCUGAGGAACGAAAGCUAGGGGAGCAAACAGG
rnacentral:rRNA from 1 species